UGCGUAGGUGGUUUCUUAAGUCAGGAGUGAAAGGCUACGGCUCAACCGUAGUAAGCUCUUGAAACUGGGAAACUUGAGUACAGGAGAGGAAAGUGGAAUUCCUAGUGUAGCGGUGAAAUGCGUAGAUAUUAGGAGGAACACCAGUAGCGAAGGCGCCUUUCUGGACUGUGUCUGACGCUGAGAUGCGAAAGCCAGGGUAGCAAC
rnacentral:rRNA from 1 species